AUUUGGGACGGAACGGAAAGAUGGAAAUCUCAAAUCUCUCUCUCUCUCUUUCUGUCACACACACACACACACAAUCUAUCGUUUCGGAAGGAGUUCGAGGUUCCGCCCCUCUUUUAGAGAUUAGGGUUCUUCCUCGGCGAAUAAUUUACCACGCUAACGAUUGUGUACAGUUGUUCUUCUUUUACGGAGUACACGAUACUUUUAAGUACAUCGUGAUCAUUCGAGCCAAAAGGUGAUGAUUUUGGGUACUGAGCCUUUGUUCCCGUUCAAUGCAGUUUAAGAAACCAUUCGUUCACGCCCCAAUUUGGUAGACUAUGAAACAAAAAGCUUUCUUUCUUUUACUUUAGUUUUAGCACCAACCAAUUUCCAUGUUUUUUUCCUCCAUUUCUUACCUUGAUAUUGGAGUAAUUGAUUCAUCGUAAAACCUAACCGUGUUUUACUAUUACGUUUACGGUUGUACUUGUGAAUCCUAACUAAGACGAGUCUUAAGGAUUACGCCCGCCUAUGGUUGAGUGACUAUAGCCUGUUUUCACUUUUCGCCAAAAUUCCAUUAUCCCUUGUUCAUGAGUGAGAUUCACUGAAUUAACUUAGCACCAAUGUUAUCACCAUACCAGCAAAUUUCCAUGUUUCUUUUUCUUUUUCGUGCUUGACACUUGUAUUUGAUUCAGCCUAAAACUAGCUUUCACCAUCUUUUUCCUGUAUUUUGUGCUGCCUAUUAUAGCAUAAAAUAUGCUUAAAUAUAGGGUUAUACUUGUUAAGCUUAACAAAAUGUCUUGGUUCAAUGAUCCUCCUUAAGUUGGCAAUUAUUGAUCUUUGAAGAAGUGUGCUACAGUCAAAAACAAAAUGGUUUUAGUGGAGUGGAGGCAUCUAGUUUACGCCUUUUUAACUUUCUGGCUCUAUAAAUUGUACACCCCUUAAAUUGGCAACGAUAUCUAGAGUUCAAUUGUUAUUAGUAGGCAGUUGAAAUAUAUGUUGUCGGGUUGCUUGGAUCCCAACAAGCGGAGGAAUGGUCCCUGUUCUUUUUGUGCAUUAAACACACUUGUUGCAUGCAGAUAUAUUGGUCUUCAAUUCCAGAAUUGGCAGGCCCUAUAGAGGAUGAGCAUGCUAGUUUGCUUGAGCGCAACUGGUAUUCAUUGGCAUACCAUGUCCAUUGCUAAGUUGGAGAUUUAUAGUAUGGGUUUUUUCAUCAUCCAUAUUGCCAUCAAGAAGGUUCAUUGAUUCACAUGUCUGUCAACUAUACCAGUCCAUCUAGCUAAGCUUACAUUUUGGUGUAAUCAUUGGAAAAUGAUUCUGAGAUCUGUUUGACUUGUAUCUGACUUUGUGGCUAGUUAGACUUGUCAAUUCAUCAGUACAAUAGGCACAGUCUCAGUCUCUUGGUUCAUGAACCGGAUGAUGUAUUCUCUUUGAUAUUAAGAAUGCAAAAGCAAGAUGUUGAUAGAAGCUAGCGACCUAAACGUUUGGUAGCUUUUGAUGGUUCGGUGUCGUAUGAUCAUUCAAGCAGGAUGUUGUUGGAUGCUGGAUGAGGUGGAGGCCAAUGUCAAACAGCGAGGAUCUGUUUGGUUUUUUCGUUUCCUCCACUUCUUGCAACUACAAAAAAUUACCUGCUGGUGGAGAAACAAGUUUGCAUAAAGGUGUUGGGGACAUCAGGAAUUCUUUGAAAGAAGUCUGCCGUUGAUGCGGUCCAUGGAGUUGGUUCACCAGCCUAUUUUAUCGCCACAAGUUUGAGGUAAGAAAUUGUGUUUGUUGUGAUUGUAGGUAGCAGGCAUUAAGCUUGGCUCAUCAUUGCCAUGAUCUUUGAGAAGUAAUAUGGAGGAGAAAUGGUUGUUGCUUGCUCCCGUUGAUCAAGUUCUACAGAAAUCGUCAUCUAAAUCAAAUCAUACAAGAAGGGAAAGAGUGAGUAUUUUCUAUAGGAGGCUAUUGACUGGUUCAUGCGUAUUUGGGGUUGAUGUAGCAGCUGGUGUUUGCUGUCGAGGCAAAAAUGUUGAUCAGUUUUGCAGAAAACAAAUAUAUGCAUGUAUGUAUUUUAUGUUUGUAUUUGGGGUCUUACCAUGGAAGCCACAGACUGCAAUACUUCUUCACAUGGUUGCUAGUUUCAUAACAAAGCUGGAGCGAGAUUUCAGUAAUGUUUUAGUUUUAGUAGCAAACAAAGGGCAUGAUUUUGUCAACGGGCCAUAUCUACCGUUAUCAUGUUCAUCCAAAUGGAUUGCCCCCAACAGGAUUGACAGAAUUCGGAGUACUUGCUUGGGCGUAGCUGAUAGCUGGCUGUUGAUGGAUACCUGAAGUACCACAAUCAGUUCCUCUGUUGUCAGGACCUAAUCCGCCUUGAUUACUGCAAUGAGAUGCAUAAAGCGUCCAUUAAUGUCUGUAAAGUUCAGUCCUUUUCUGUAAAUAAUAUAUGCAAUAUUACACAGAAACACAAGUUAAUUGAGUAGCAGGUGACAAAAGCUCUUUUGUUUCCGAUGGUAUUUCACCUAAGGGAACUUGAUUAAGCUUUCAAACAUGAUAACUAGUUUUAAUAUGUACGGUCUUAUUGGCUUAAGAAUAUUAAAUUUUGAUGAUGA